UACGGGGGGGGCAAGCGUUGUUCGGAAUUACUGGGCGUAAAGGGCUCGUAGGCGGCCAACUAAGUCAUACGUGAAAUCCCUCGGCUUAACCGGGGAACUGCGUCUGAUACUGGAUGGCUUGAGUUCGGGGGAGGGAUGCGGAAUUCCAGGUGUAGCGGUGAAAUGCGUAGAUAUCUGGAGGAACACCGGUGGCGAAGGCGGCGACCUGGGUAGAUACUGACGCUGAGGCGCGAAAGCGUGGGGAGCAAACAGG
rnacentral:rRNA from 1 species